UGUGAACGUUACCAAACUGUUGCCUCGGCGGGAUCUCUGCCCCGGGUGCGUCGCAGCCCCGGACCAAGGCGCCCGCCGGAGGACCAACCAAAACUCUUAUUGUAUACCCCCUCGCGGGUUUUUUUUAUAAUCUGAGCCUUCUCGGCGCCUCUCGUAGGCGUUUCGAAAAUGAAUCAAAACUUUCAACAACGGAUCUCUUGGUUCUGGCAUCGAUGAAGAACGCAGCGAAAUGCGAUAAGUAAUGUGAAUUGCAGAAUUCAGUGAAUCAUCGAAUCUUUGAACGCACAUUGCGCCCGCCAGUAUUCUGGCGGGCAUGCCUGUCCGAGCGUCAUUUCAACCCUCGAACCCCUCCGGGGGGUCGGCGUUGGGGAUCGGCCCUGCCUUGGCGGUGGCCGUCUCCGAAAUACAGUGGCGGUCUCGCCGCAGCCUCUCCUGCGCAGUAGUUUGCACACUCGCAUCGGGAGCGCGGCGCGUCCACAGCCGUUAAACACCCAACUUCUGAAAUGUUGACCUCGGAUCAGGUAGGAAUACCCGCUGAACUUAAGCAUAUCAUAAGGGGGGGAGAGAGAAACUCCCCAAACCCAAAUGGUGGAAACG
rnacentral:rRNA from 1 species